CAAUAGCGUAUACUAAUGUUGUUGCAGUUAAAAAGCUCGUAGUUGAACUUCUGGUAGGAGUGUCCCGGCCUUUUUGUUUUUACAAAUUGUAUGCUGUGUGACAUCUCUGGCCAUCCUUCUUCUUUGUUUAAAGAAGAUCUUUCACUGUAAAAAAAUUAGGGUGUUCAAAGCAAAAGUUUCUUUGGAAUAUAUUAGUAUGGGAUGAUAAGAUAGGCUCUAGAUGCUAUUUUGUUGGUUUGCACAUUUAGAGAAUGAUUAACAGGGACAGUUGGGGGUAUUCGUAUUUACAUGUCAGAGGUGAAAUUCUUGGAUUUUGGAAAGACGAACUACUGCGAAAGCAUUUGCCAAGGAUGUUUUCAUUG
rnacentral:rRNA from 1 species